CAGCAGCCGCGGUAAUCCGAAGGGGGCUAGCGUUGUUCGGAUUUACUGGGCGUAAAGGGCGCGUAGGCGGACUGAUAAGUCAGGGGUGAAAUCCCAAGGCUCAACCUUGGAACUGCCUUUGAUACUGUUUGUCUUGAGUUCGAGAGAGGUAAGUGGAACUGCGAGUGUAGAGGUGAAAUUCGUAGAUAUUCGCAAGAACACCAGUGGCGAAGGCGGCUUACUGGCUCGAAACUGACGCUGAGGCGCGAAAGCGUGGGGAGCAAACAGGAUUAGAUACCCCCGUAGUCCCUGUCUCUUAUAC
rnacentral:rRNA from 1 species